rnacentral:rRNA from 1 species
GAUGAACGCUAGCGGCAGGCUUAAUACAUGCAAGUCGAGGGGUAGCAAGAUUGUAGCAAUACAAUUGUUGACGACCGGCAAACGGGUGCGGAACACGUACACAACCUUCCUACAAGUGGGGAAUAGCCCAGAGAAAUUUGGAUUAAUACCCCGUAACAUAGCGAUGUGGCAUCACAUUGCUAUUAUAGCUUCGGCGCUUGUUGAUGGGUGUGCGGCUGAUUAGAUAGUUGGCGGGGUAACGGCCCACCAAGUCUACGAUCAGUAGCUGAUGUGAGAGCAUGAUCAGCCACACGGGCACUGAGACACGGGCCCGACUCCUACGGGAGGCAGCAGUAAGGAACAUUGGACAAUGGACGCAAGUCUGAUCCAGCCAUGCCGCGUGAAGGAUUAAGGUCCUCAGGAUUGUAAACUUCUUUUAUAAGGGACGAAAAAAGGUCUUUCUAGAUCGUCUGACGGUACCUUAUGAAUAAGCACCGGCUAACUCCGUGCCAGCAGCCGCCGUAACAC